CCUAUUUUAAUCUAUAUUAUAGUAGCCUAUUUUGGCAACACACUGAUAUAGAGAUAGGGUGAUACCACAACUGCACAACAUGAUGUAUUAAGCUUUUUCAACAUACUAAUAGUAUCACAAGACAACCAAUAAUGGAUAAACAUUCUUGAACCUUCACACACAAAGGAACAAAGCAGUAAGCUCCUCAAAAUUAGCUAAAAUGCAGCCAAGCUUAUGGCUCUACAGUCUGCACAUUCUUUAGCUAACAUAGCACUUACUAACGUGGCAACUACAUCCGUCAAAAUGAGUCCAGACUUGGCUUGGCUCUCACUUUAUAUAAGCAAAUAGUUUCUUCACCAAUCAUACACACAGUACACACGACAAAAACCAUUUUUAAAAUUCUAUCAAAGAGAUAAACACAACAACAUCCAAUACCAGCAGAAGCAAGCUCAGGCUAUGGACGUAUCGAGGAAACCCGGAGGUGACUUGAAGGAAAUUAGAAAUUAGAUUUUAGGAUUCCUAGUAGUGGUUAAAUAGAAGGGAUAUUUAAUGUAUAUAGCAUAAUAUAGAAAUAGAUAAAUUCUUAAUAGGUUAAUGGUUUAUCCGAUAAGAAAAUUAAUUAAUUCUUUUCCAAAUCGAUAAGCCAUUAAUAAUAAAAUUUCAAUAAGUUAUCCACCCAUUAAUUUGAUAACCCGAUACCAAUAAGACACUAAGCCACUUUUAUGAUUUGGUUUUCGAUUUUGGUUCUGUUUUUAACAGCCCUACCUCCAGACAAAAGAAUGAUGCAAUAACAUCAGUUGAUGCCAUACGCCUUAAGCUAUGCGAUUAAAUUUGAUGAGCGUCGGUUGGGAAUCCCCUUUCCAUAAAACCUUGGUACCAUUCAAGGAAAAUUCAAAUUCCC
rnacentral:lncRNA from 1 species